rnacentral:rRNA from 1 species
GACGAACGCUGGCGGCGUGCUUAACACAUGCAAGUCGAACGGUGAAGCGCCUUCCUUUUUGGUGGGUGUGGAUGAGUGGCGAACGGGUGAGUAACACGUGAGUAACCUGCCCCCUUCUUCUGGAUAACCGCAUGAAAGUGUGGCUAAUACGGGAUAUUCUGGGUCUGUCGCAUGAUGGGUCUGGGAAAGAUAUUGUUUCGGUGGGGGAUGGGCUCGCGGCCUAUCAGCUUGUUGGUGGGGUGAUGGCCUACCAAGGCGGUGACGGGUAGCCGGCCUGCGAGGGUGGACGGUCACACUGGGACUGAGACACGGCCCAGACUCCUACGGGAGGCAGCAGUGGGGAAUAUUGCACAAUGGGCGCAAGCCUGAUGCAGCGACGCCGCGUGAGGGAUGGAGUCCUUCGGGUUGUGAACCUCUUUCGCCAGUGAAGCAGGCCUGCCUCGUUUGUGGGUGGGUUGACGGUAGCUGGAUAAGAAGCGCCGGCUAACUACGUG